GUUUCCACUAUGAGCGUCUCCCAUACAAUGCCGUAACGCCAUCUACUUUUAUAUGCAAUAGCAGUAAUGGUUUUGUCUUGCUGGAAACAUAAAAAAAAAUAUGCUUUAACCCAUCUGCAAAGCAACUGCUUCAAAUUAAAUUUCGUAAUAAAACCAAAUUAAACAUAAUUGAGAAACUUGCCCUGAGAACAGAACAAUAAGAAAUUUGCUGUGACAAUGGUGCAAUAUAUAUUGUUCCUCUACGGUGCUCCAAAUGUCCCUGCUGUCAGGCUGUGCUGUCAUUAGGGCAGUUUGCUGCUGUUAUUGUGAAUCUUAAAACAUGCCUUUCCCCUUCUGUAUGAGACCACUCCUCUAAGGUCUUAUGCAUGCUGAUGAAAGAAUUAGGCUCAGCUAUCAGGAAUUAAGCAAAAAAUGUGCUGACACAUGUUCCUAGAGAUACUGCUGAAAGGAGAUAGCUUUUUACAGAGAUGCUCCGAUGCUUGCUGCAGGUAUGAAUAUUGCAGAGCGUGCAGCCUGUCUCUAGUGGGUUGCUUGACCAUGAAAUUGCCCAUGAAAUGGGAAUCUAUUGUUUAUUGUGCUAAUUAGUAACUCAGAGAGUUUAUUUAAAGGUCACUAGGAUGCAAUAAGAAAUAACGUAGUGUGUUAAUGGAAGAAAAUUCAAGAAGCCGUAGGGGUUUGGAUUAUUUAGUAGAAUCUUAUUCCUAAUAUUUAAGAUACUUUGAAAUGUGCAUUAAAUUAAUAAGGGAGAUGAAGGAAUGUUUUAAUAUAACUUAGUGUGAAAAUAGACUUCAGAAUUUAUUUUAUUCAUAGUUUUUUGCAUCAAAGGUUCUAUAAUGAUUAAUUUUCAAACUUACAGGUUUUAAUAGCAAAAUAAGAAAUAAUAGCUCCAAAGUUCCUUUGAAAUACUUAAUAAAAUGCUGUUCUUUAAAGCAGUAGAUGGCUUUCAAAUACCACUACUAUUUCAAAGAACUGUAUUCUUUACAAUAUUCCUAUUCAGUUUUCUGUACUGUGCAAAGAUGACUCACUUGAUGUAGCACAGAAAUAUUUUCAGAUGGGCAAAAAUUAAGGUAUUGUUAUAUUCCAACAAAAUGCUGGACUGAAAAACCGUACUGAGUACUUGCUAGGGUAGAAGUUUAAAUGCAAGUUAAUUUGCUGUUACAGAAGGUUCCUUGGCCUUCCAGAUUCCAGGACAAACUUAAAAAACCCCAGUCAGUAGCUAACGGAUGUAAUUAUUCUGGCUGUCAAUUGCUUUGUGCACUGGGUUUCUGGAGGAGGAGCAGCACAGCAGGUCACCGGGUAUGGGUAGUCACAAGCAAGCAAGAAAGAUCCUUCAACAGUAGGGUCUAGCAGGGCAUGAAUAAGGUAAAGCUGGUUUUGUCUGUUGAGCAGAAAAAUUGGCAAUUAAGGUAGGAUAACUUAAGCAGUCACCACACCGGGUGGAGGAAGAGAGGCUUUUCCUGCAAAUACAGUCCAAGAGGGCAUGUGACUGAUGCAGGGCUGAUGGAGAGGCACAGGAGGACUAACAGAGACCCCUGAUUCAAAUGUUUUCUGGUAAGAAAAUGUGUUUUCCCCUCAACUGUCCCCAGACAAGGAACGUAUUUGCGUCAAACCAAAGGUGUGUAAAAACAGGAUUUCCAACAUGGUCUGUGCCGAAGUGCCCCUUUAGCAGAUGUUGGAGAUAAAGGAGUUCCUCCUUGGAUGCUAUAAAACUAAAAAGCAGGAUUCAGUCCCUUCCAGAGGCCUGGGGAAGCAGAGGGCAACGCUGAACAGCAGCUGGAAUUGCAUGCUUGAAUCCCAUUACAGGGGGGCUACUAAUUGUAAAUCCAGGCAUGCAAAGGAUUAGUUGCUAGCAGGUGUCAAAGAUAAGAAAUUUCUCUCUGAUCCAGGCAGGGGGUAUCUUUGUGUGUUUUCCUGAAUUGUUCUCUUCUUACCAUUGUUCAUGAGAACAUAAAAUGAACCUCUGUUUGAGGAAAUGGGAUAAAUAAUUUUGCUGCUGUUGGAAAAGCUAAAAAAAAAAAAAGAGUGCAAGUCUUCAAAGGGGAGAAAUUGUUAAAUAGGAAAUUACUACAUGAAAAAAUACAGUUGUGGAGGGCAGACAGUUCUUAAAAGCUAGCCUGUAGUUCAACAGCCUGCCUGCAGCAAAGGGUUCAUAAUCUGCCCAGCAAUUUACUUGGGUCCCUUGCUUACUUGCAUUGUACGAAAAUGAGUGAAUUUAGGCAAUUAGCAGAGCCAGUGAUUCCCAGGGCCCUCCUGGUCAUCACCCGCUUGUGGCUGCCCUUUUCAUCCCUGGGCACAGGUCUCAGCCUGGGAGGUCCAUGCACAUUAGCUGGAGCAGGAGGUCCUGUCACCAUUGCUGCCCCUUGCUGUGCCGUGGGAAGAGUGGGAGGCAAUGCAAAUCCUAACUAAAUGCUUUAAUUGGGGAGCUAGUCCCUGUGGAGAGCAAAUGGUGAGCAAAUGGAGAAGGAUGCUCUUCAGAUCCCCCGAGAUCUAGAUUGCCUUUUUUCUGUUGUCUUUGCACAAAGUGCAGGGAGAGCGGUUUCUGUAAGGGAUUGAUACAGGGCAUUUGCUCUGCUUGUAAAGUGAAUGAGCUUGCUUUCAAUGUGGUGCACUAAGAGCAUCCAUGAAGGGAAUUACUGCUGAGAAAUACCACUCUGCAAAUUCAGGCCUUAGUUUACUCUCUGUCCACAUGGACAAAUCCUGAUAAGGUCACUAAUGAGCUAGCCCUAGGCAUGAAGAACCUAAUCGGAUCAGUCUGGUCCUAGUUCGCAGUAUUAAACCCAGCAUCACAACAGGAAUAGCUAAAUUACAGAGGAAAGGUUCAAAAUCCAAUGAUUUGUGAAUUUUUAGGACACGUACAAAAUACAUCAUUUCAAUCAUCAUUUCAGUGUGUGAAAGAAAAGUCAUGGCACCACUGUAAUAAUGGCAAAGCAAAUGGAUCAGUCAGAAAUAAACUAUGUGGUAGGCACCAAAGCUGGCUGAUGGGGCUGUUCUGGUAGCUUCUUUAUGGGUAUUUCCAAUGCAAUAGAUGGUGCUACUAGAUGUGAUUUCUUGAUGUGGGGGAAAGAAGUGUUGGUCCUUGGAGUCAUAAAACAGUGGGGCUUUAGGAGUUUUGCAGUCACCCUCAACAGAAGCUGAGGCUCAAUCAUUAAUUCAUAGAGUCAUAGAAUAGCUAAGGUUGCAAAGGACCUUAAGAUUAUCUAAUUCCAGCCCUCGUGCCAUGGGCAGGGGUGCCUCAUACUGCCAUGUCGGCCAAGGCCCUGUCCAACCUGGCCUUGAACGCUGCCAGGGAUGAGGCAUUUACCACUUCUUUGGGCAACCUGUUCUAGGAGAAAAAAAACAUAAGAGAAAAGCAUUGCCUGUAGCCUUGCAUGACUCUGCAAGCAUAAGGCUGCCAGCCCACACACCCCGUCAAAAAGCCAACGCUUUGUUUUGAAUUAGCACCCAACUUUUUGCCAAAGGAAACAGAAGCAGCAAGCCAGUCAUCCGAGUUUCUGUCUCUGAGCUCCCAACAGGCCACUUCGGCUGAGUACCAAAAGCAAAUGCCUGUAAGGAAGGACAUUUAUUUAGUGCAGAAGAAGCCCACAUGCGCAUCUGCUAAACAGUAAGUCUUGACUAAUCAUCCAAGAAAUGAGAGGUCCCUGUGCUUUUUGCAUGCCUUCUGUUAAAGAAAGACUAUACAUCUUUGAUUGAUCUAGCAAACAGAAACAAUGCUAAAAUAAUGUUUCGUGGCAUUCUCCAGUUUUCCUUUUUUCUGUAAAUAUCGUUGGUGGUGCUUGUGAAAAGUCAUUAGCAAAGACACCAUUGCAUCCCAAGAUAUUAAGGACAGGUUUUAAUUAUUUUUCCUGCACUAAAACAGUUUCUUAAUGGUAUUAAGGAAAUCUUUACAUUUUUAUUUCAUUCUUAAAGUAAUUUAGGACAAAUGAUAGAUAAACAUGAUGGCAUUUUUCUUUACUUGUUUGUUUAUUCUCUAGAAUGAUGCUUAGGGAAGCCACUCCCUUGAACACUGAAGAAGACCUUAAUCUUCUGAAACAGCAGAAAGUUCAUGUUGGUCUUUGCUCUGUCUCUACAUUGUUUUGGACUGUGUCAGUACAUAUCAUUAAGGUAAAAUAGAAGGAAACAUUGUUGACUGAAGUGUAGAGGAAGCUAUAAUGAUUUUGGCAGCUGUCAUUGACGUCAUGCUCAUCGGUUUUCUUCAAGCCUUACCAAGUGAUUCCUCUAAUGGAAAGCUUACUUCCCAAGCAGUGCAAGAGUGAUCUGGUUAGUGUUUCAACAUGCAAAGGCAGCUGAUGGAAGGAUUCUGGAAGGAAAAUGAAAAAUGACAUAAAUGAGCUAGAAUAGCAACUGUGCACUGGCAAGGAGUACAAAGAAAAGUAAGAACUGGAGAUAAUUCUAAAUGUUAAACUUUUUUUCUGAGUUCUAGCUAAAAUACAACUGAAAGAAUCUCAGGAAAUUUCAAGUCCCUAUUUCCACAGGUUUUCUGAAUCUUUGAGCCUUUUUUUCCUUAUCUAAUAUCCCAGACCUUAUUUUCAAGGUACAUGAACACCAAGAGGUUCUGAUUAGAAAAAUCACUGUUCCCUCAUCCAAACUCUUGCACGUCUGUCAGAUCAGAAAAUUCUGCCCUGUAUCCUCUGGCAAGGGAUGCUGAGAUGGGUGCAGUGGGCUCUCAGAGGGAGAGGGAGGCAAUGUGCAGGUACCAGGUCUUAAGUCCCCAGCAAUACCGAAGUAGGAUUGGAUGGAGGCUGUGCUUGGUGGGUUGGGAAAUGGAGACUCCUGUCAUGGAGAAGGCUGCAGGCUUCUGGCUUCAGGCACUGGGAGGAAAGCAGCUGUUCCACCUGCAGAUUUGCAGCUCAGGGAUUGAGUCAGUGCCCUGACAGCGAUGAGCAGCUGAGCUGGCAGAGCCCAAGCACUGCAGAAGCACUGGGAAGGCGGGGGUCAGCCAACACACCAACAUGGGCACCGCUGGAGGGAGCAAGGCAGAGAGCAGUGCAUGGAAAGGUACAUAAAAGUGCAAUUCUACGUGUAUUAAACCCCUGCAUUUUAAAGCAGCAGAGUGAUGUUUUCCUUUUCAUAAUUAUUUCAAUUCCAGUUAUAUAGAUU